CAGCAGCCGCGGGAAUACGAAGGGUGCAAGCGUUAAUCGGAAUUACUGGGCGUAAAGCGUGCGUAGGCGGUGAGUUAAGUCUGCUGUGAAAUCCCCGGGCUCAACCUGGGAAUGGCAGUGGAUACUGGCUCGCUAGAGUGUGUCAGAGGAUGGUGGAAUUCCCGGUGUAGCGGUGAAAUGCGUAGAGAUCGGGAGGAACAUCAGUGGCGAAGGCGGCCAUCUAGGACAACACCGACGCUGAGGCACGAAAGCGUGGGGAGCAAACAGGAUUAGAUACCCCUGUAGUCCCUGUCUCUUAUAC
rnacentral:rRNA from 1 species